rnacentral:rRNA from 1 species
GACGGGGGGUUCAAGCGUUGUUCGGAAUCAUUGGGCGUAAAGCGCGUGCAGGUGGCUUUGCAAGUCAGAUAUGAAAGCCCAGGGCUUAACCCUGGAAGUGCAUUUGAAACUGCUCAGCUUGAGUAUGGAAGAGGGUCGUGGAAUUCCAGGUGUAGUGGUGAAAUACGUAGAUAUCUGGAGGAACACCGGUGGCGAAGGCGGCGACCUGGUCCAAUACUGACACUCAUACGCGAAAGCGUGGGGAUCAAACAGG